AUGGCUACCCUGGGAAAAUACACCGGUGUCGCCUACAUUUUCGCAGUUUUGGUAUAUCUGCGUUUUGCCGAAAAAAAUAAUGUAGAAACUCUUUAAAGCCGCGGACUUCAAAUGCAAUGCGGCGAAAACAAAGCGAGAAUAGCCGAGAAGCAUCGGUUUUCCCAGGACAGACGUAUCCCGUUCAGUCCUCGAGAACCACUAAGCCCAACCUGGGUACCAAUGACAUGCACGGUCAGUGUCUUUGGACUGCAGCACUUCUCCCUUCAUAUCACGGCAGAUGUGUGCACUUCUCUCUGUAGUUCCACAGUGUAUCAGCAGGGGGAAGCAGUGCUUUUAGAAGCCAGAGUGGAGGCCCUGAUGCACCGAAGCCUGACCCUCUCUCCUUGCAAAGCUACAGGUUUAUCACAAAUCAGCGAUGUCUUACGGACAGUUUACUGCCAGACUCUCCAUCUACAUUCUAACAUAGGGAGCAAGAUCACACAGUCUGUGAUUGA